AUGCAAGUCGAACGCAGUAGCAAUACUGAGUGGCAGACGGGUGAGUAACAUGUGGGAAUCUGCCUUGUGGUUCAGGACAACAUUGGGAAACCGAUGCUAAUACUGGAUAAGCCCUUACGGGGAAAGUUUUAAUGCCAUAAGAUGAGCCCGCAUUUGAUUAGUUAGUUGGUGAGGUAAUGGCUCACCAAGACAAUGAUCAAUAGCUGAUCUGAGAGGAUGAUCAGCCACACUGGGACUGAGACACGGCCCAGACUCCUACGGGAGGCAGCAGUGGGGAAUCUUGCACAAUGGAGGAAACUCUGAUGCAGCGAUGCCGCGUGAGUGAAGAAGGCCUUUGGGUUGUAAAGCUCUUUUGUAGGGGAAGAUAAUGACUGUACCCUAAGAAUAAGGUCCGGCUAACUUCGUGCCAGCAGCCGCGGUAAUACGAAGGGACCUAGCGUAGUUCGGAAUUACUGGGCGUAAAGCGCGCGUAGGCCGUUGAGUUAGUUAAUUGUGAAAUCCCAAAGCUUAACUUUGGAACUGCAAUUAAAACUGCUCGACUAGAGUUUGAUAGAGGAAAGCGGAAUACAUAGUGUAGAGGUGAAAUUCGUAGAUAUUAUGUAGAACACCAGUUGCGAAGGCGGCUUUCUGGAUCAACACUGACGCUGAGGCGCGAAAGUAUGGGUAGCAAAGAGGAUUAGAUACCCUCGUAGUCCAUACCAUAAACGAUGAUUGCUAGAUGUUGGAAAUUUAUUUUCAGUAUCGCAGCUAACGCAUUAAGCAAUCCGCCUGGGGAGUACGACCGCAAGGUUAAAACUCAAAUGAAUUGACGGGGACCCGCACAAGCGGUGGAGCAUGUGGUUUAAUUCGAAGAUACGCGCAGAACCUUACCAACCCUUGACAUGUCUGUCGCGAGUUUAGGAAACUAGACUUUUCGGUUCGGCCGGACAGAACACAGGUGCUGCAUGGCUGUCGUCAGCUCGUGU
rnacentral:rRNA from 1 species